AGCAACAGCCAUAUCACCCUGCAGCCCAAGACUGGUUACUCACUGAAGCUAAGCAGGGCUGAGCCUGUUCAGUUCCUGGAUGGGAGACCACAUGGGAAAUCUAGGUUGCUGUUGUAA
rnacentral:rRNA from 1 species